rnacentral:rRNA from 1 species
AACGAACGCUGGCGGCAUGCCUAACACAUGCAAGUCGAACGAGACCUUCGGGUCUAGUGGCGCACGGGUGCGUAACGCGUGGGAACCUGCCCUUAGGUUCGGAAUAACUCCCCGAAAGGGGUGCUAAUACCGGAUAAUGUCUUCGGACCAAAGAUUUAUCGCCUUUGGAUGGGCCCGCGUUGGAUUAGCUAGUUGGUAGGGUAAAAGCCUACCAAGGCGACGAUCCAUAGCUGGUCUGAGAGGAUGAUCAGCCACACUGGGACUGAGACACGGCCCAGACUCCUACGGGAGGCAGCAGUGGGGAAUAUUGGACAAUGGGCGAAAGCCUGAUCCAGCAAUGCCGCGUGAGUGAUGAAGGCCUUAGGGUUGUAAAGCUCUUUUACCCGGGAUGAUAAUGACAGUACCGGGAGAAUAAGCCCCGGCUAACUCCGUA